UACGGGAGGCAGCAGUGGGGAGUAUUGCACAAUGGGCGCAAGCCUGAUGCAGCAACGCCGCGUGAGUGAAGAAGUAUUUCGGUAUGUAAAGCUCUAUCGAUGGGGAAUAAAAUGAAGGUACCCAAGUAAGAAGCCCCGGCUAACUACGUGCCAGCAGCCGCGGUAAU
rnacentral:rRNA from 1 species